GCCCUUAUGGCGUAGUGGUAGCGCGUCGCACUUGUAUUCAAGCAGGAUUUAACUGCUGUUUUCGGGGUAUGCGAAGGUCUCUAGUUCAAUCCUGGAUGGGGGCA